rnacentral:misc_RNA from 1 species
UUGUGCAUCGAACGGUUGGCAUGCUGUCCUUUUUAUUACCACCAUCAUGUGUCAUAGAGCAUUUUGGUGUUUUGCCUUGGGGUUCCUGUGUUGCCUACCAUGGAAAUGGUAUUCGAUUAUGUUGGAAUAUUUGUUCCAUCCAGGUCUCCUUGCGGGGAUGAUGGUGGAUCAAUGCAAUGCAUGUGUUCCACUUUAGUUUUGUCUUGUGAAACUAUUGUGGUAUGUAAUGCAGCUGUUGUUCUUUCGGAUGCGGUGAGUGCAUGCAAUGAACGUGGCUUUGAUUGCCUCGUUUAGUUAUAAAUUUUUGGUUGCCUUAGAAAUGACUUUUGCCGUGGUGCUUGUGUUUUUUCCAUUUAGGAAGACAAUACUUGCACCAUGAGCGCGGUCAUCAAUGGGUGCUACCUGGUUGAUCCUGCCAGUAGUCAUAUGCUUGUCUC